CCUACGGGAGGCAGCAGUAGGGAAUAUUGCUCAAUGGGGGAAACCCUGAAGCAGCAACGCCGCGUGGAGGAUGAAGGUUUUCGGAUUGUAAACUCUUUUUGUUAGAGAAGAUAAUGACGGUAUCUAACGAAUAAGCACCGGCUAACUCCGUGCCAGCAGCCGCGGUAAUACGGAGGGUGCAAGCGUUACUCGGAAUCACUGGGCGUAAAGAGCGCGUAGGCGGGAUAGCAAGUCAGAUGUGAAAUCCUAGGGCUUAACCAUAGAACUGCAGUUGAAACUGUUAGUCUAGAGUAUGGGAGAGGUAGGUGGAAUUCUUGGUGUAGGGGUAAAAUCCGUAGAGAUCAAGAGGAAUACUCAUUGCGAAGGCGACCUGCUAGAACAUAACUGACGCUGAGGCGCGAAAGCGUGGGGAGCAAACAGGAUUAGAUACCCGUGUAGUC
rnacentral:rRNA from 1 species